UACAAAGAUGGUUCCCGUUCCGUCCGCUAUGUCCUCCACGGUUGGAUUCUAUAAUAUCUGCAUUGCAGACCUGGGAUACCAAACGUGGAGGGCGUUGAAAUUAGACAAAACUUAAAAACUACACCUUUAAGACUCACAAAUGGAACUGGAAUAUUCAACUAUGUCCUCUGAGGGAUCUUCAGUUGAAUCUGAGUUGUCACAGGAUUCAACCCGUUUAGAAGAAUUCCACAUAGAAGGUGUACGCUUGCAACUACCACAAGGCUUGUGUGAAAAUAAACAUAUUUUUAAGGAAUUCUUUUCCAGUCAGACUUGGCAUGAAUGUUUUACAGAACAACAGAAACAGCACCUAAAGAGCUUUCUACCAACAUUCCCAGACAAUGAUGCCGACGAGAAAGAAGAAACAUUGCGACGGCUGUUUGCUCGAGAGAACAUGAGGUUUGGAUCUCCUCUGUCUGAUUUCCAAGUACAACUUAAGAAUGGGUAUUACAGACCAGACAUAGCCAAGAUGCGCUCAUUAAUGAGGAAAGCACAGUUUCGAGAAUACAAGUACCAACAUCGGCGAUAUUACUUUCGGCUGGUGAAGGCAAUCCUGCUAUCACGCCAACAGCUGCUAGAGACAGCGUUCAACCAACCCCCAGGAGUUUAUCCAAAAAUAGAACGCAUCCCUCACCACCCACCACCUCGCAUAUCCCCAGCAGAGCAAAGGACCAGGCGUCGAUAUUUCCAAGAACUAGCGGCAGUUCGACAGGAAGUAGGAGAGAGUGAUCACAGCUCAGAGGAUGACAAUUACCCUGAAGGACCACCUCCAAAACUGAGUAAGAAGCAGAAACGACAAUUGGCAGCAUUGGAAUGUUCUCUUAGUCCAGACAUGCCUCAAGUUAUAUCAACUGUAGCCCUCAAACCAUCAGGAUUUGAUCUGGAAUCAAACGUUACAUCAAGUCAUAACCCUUACGAAUUGAACGAGGAGUCGUACAAAGCUCUUUUGUUAAAUCACAAGAGAAGACGAUUGGAGGGAGAUGACCAUCCUGAGCUCAAUAUACUGGGUAUCACAACACAGGACAUUGCUGUGCGCGCUCAACUUGGGAAACGAUUACCACUGAACCGGACAAACCACAAUGUAGGAAGCGAAACAAAAACUCCAACAAAAAAGAAAAAAGGAGAAACAAACAGCAAUAAAGGAACGCCCACCACAGUAGCUGGUCACGUCUCUCAGAUGAGAUAUAGCCUCAACAGUCCUCAGGGAGUUGGUGGAUGCAGCUCAAAUGGAUCUGACCUUGGUGAUUCUGAAGAUGAGGAUGCAAUGUUGGAUCAGUUGUUGUUGGAUGAUAUGGAACGGGUGGAUGUGGAAGGAGAGAUCGAAAAUUCAUUGGUUGCCAGCAAAGCAACACCUCCCCACACCAGAACACCAGUAGCUGCCGCUCGGAACAGACGCACAAACAGCUCUGGCUCCUCUCCUCGAGCCAAUAGAGUGAAUACAAGUAGUGGUGGUGGCAGGAGUCUACUGCAGCGGCGGAUUAAGGCUGAAUCAGAGGAGGCUGUUAGUGAUAUGUUCCCUACCUCAUGCACCUCUAGUGAGACCACCUUCACAGUGCCAAAUAGUGGACAACAGUUCCAGCAACUUUCUAAUAAUAUCACCAUGUCCAAGACUACCAAUCCAACAUACUCAGGCAGGCACAUCACUGCAGCUACCCUGUCUGACCUCGAUGGUAUCGACAUGAUGAAUCUACCAGUAGAUCUGGACGAAUCACCAAAUGACCCCAUGGAUAUAAAUCUCGAUGAUAUGAAACCAGCACCUGAGCUGAUGCAGGAGACACAUGCUUGUUUUUUCUCACUGAUACGAGAUGUGAUCUGCUCUACGCCAGACCACCGCAUGAGUCUUGUGACACUGGAGGACAGGCUGAAAGCCUGGCAAGAGAAUCCCAUCUCUCCCCUCAAUGACUGGUACUGCAUAGCGGCCGACUCUUGGCUCCUUAUGCUGCCAUCUGCAAUCAGCUUCCUGUCAGGGGACUUCCCAGAUGCACAGCCAGAAGACUUUGUUCCUUAUGUCGAGUACAAACGCAACUUACAAGCAUUUCAGUGGAUAGGAGCAGGUCGGGACUUAGAUUCUCAUCUCCAGCCGUUGUGCCAGCACUGGCUGGAUCAUCGUGAUGAGAUGACGGCUCGGCCAGUCAAGGAAGAAGAGGUGGAGGAGGAGACAGGAGAUGGCAUUGGAGAGGAGAGGGCAUCCUCUCCUCCACCUCCUCGCUGCCCCACCUCCUGGGUUGUACAUCCCAGCACUCCUGAGGAAAAGGAGUGUUUUAGGGAACAGGAGAGGCACCGAUAUGAGAAUCCACAUCGAGCAUUCACGUUUCGAAUGCACAACUAUGAGUCAGUUGUUGGACCUGUAAAAGGAGUAUAUAAUCAGAGCAUAGGCGUAAACAAACCACGAGGCCACUCUCUUCUGGUAGCUGAGCGUCCCAAUUUUGUCACAAUUCUGGCGCUUGUAAGAGAUGCCACAGCAAGGUUACCAAAUGGUGAGGGAACACGUACAGACAUUUGUGAGCUACUUAAAGAUUCUCAGUAUCUUGCCCCAGUAUCACAGGAAAGCUACCUUCAUUCUGUAGUAAGUGGAGCGCUGGAUCGCCUGCACUACGAGACAGAUCCAUGUGUCAAAUAUGACACCAAGCGAAAAAUCUGGAUCUAUCUUCACCGGGGGCGCACUGAGGAGGAAUUUGAACGUCUUCACCAACAGCAGCAAGGCAUGGCAAAGACAAAGAAAUCCUCGAGCCAACGCAAGGCCAGUCGAAGCAAGCAGCAGAAAGAGGGUGUAGCCACUGUUAAGGAGGCUGCAGCUAGCGUUGCCACUACAGUCUCGCAGAUCAAAGUAGACUUGCCUGCCACACCCACCACACCAUCAACAAUAUCCACGCACACCUCUCUCCCCACACUUCCAACUCCACAAAUUCAAACGAGCCUUCCUGUUGUUACCCCAGUCUCAGCUACAACUGUGCCUGUGGUUGCAGCAUCUGUGAAGCCUGUCACAACAAGGGCCCCUCGCACUCCUGUUAUGCCAAGGACAUUUACCCUUGCACCAGGACAGGCUGUUCAGAAUCUCCAAGUGUCCACAUCAUCUGGACUCCAAACAAUACAAGUGACAACAUCACCAACUAUACUGACUGGAGGAGUGGCUGCUGGGAAGUCUCUUCUCACAGCUCCUGUUAGCCAGCAACAACAGCUGACUGCAGCUUCAAUAGUGAAGACCGUUGCAAUGACACCGCAGCCUACAAAUCAGUUGUCCGCUACCACUGCCACGCCCAUAUUGAAAACUGUAACUCUGACUCCUCAACAAAUGCAGGCAAUGAAUGCCGCCAGAGGAUUCGCAGGUGUCACUAGUAAUGUGAACCCCACAGCAGCAUUGAAGAUGCCAACCUCGUCAUUGGUUGCAAACAUAACUUCUUCUUCGCCCUCAUCACGAGUUGUAACCUCAAUGACUGUAGCCACAGCUGCUGUGGCUACAGUCGUUACAUCGACGCCAUCUUAUACUGUUCGGCAGCAGAAGGCACCCGUUAUCAGCCGACCCACUGCUCAGCCAUCUAUCUCCAGUUCUAAAGCUCUGGUGAAUGCCACAUCAGCUCAGUUGGUGAAUGUAACACAGGUGCAGUCAGUUGGUUCUCCCAAGCCAGUGUUAACAGCUGGAGGAAAAACUCUUGUCACCACAAAUCUGUCAGGUGUGAAGCUGGUGAAUGCUGUGAAGGCGAUUGCAACACCAGAUGGAUCUCAACAGCAGACUAUUUUCAUUAAACAGCAGCAUCAACCAGAACAACAGCAACAACAGACAAUAAUUGGGACAAUCCAGCAGCAGCCACAGUUGCUACAGCAACAUGCAAAUAAGCAAGCUGCAGCAAUUGCACAGCUCCAACAACUGAAACAGCAGCUUCAACAACGACAGAAACAGCAGCAGCAACGACAACAACAGAAACAGCAGCAGCAACAACAGAAACAGCAGCAACAACAACAACAAACUGUAAAUGUUGGGGCCACGACUGCAACUCCCACACCUCAGCGUGUCGUCACCACCAUGUCCAUCCUCGGUCAAGGACAGGCCCAGCCUCGCGUCAUGGCCAGAGUUGGUGGAAAACCGAUUCCCGUGUCGCACGUGACAUUACCGACGCAACUGCAGCAGCAAGGUGCAGCAAGUGUGACAAGUGCUCAGCCUGUAUCAGGUGUUGCCACCGUAGUGAAACAGCAGCAGCAGCAGCCUAUGGUGGCUAAAGUGUUAACAAGUGCUCAGGGGCAGGUUAUCUCCAUGGAGAGCUUGUUGGCUCAUCAGAAACAGCAUGGCACAUUGCCACAAGGCACAGCUUUGCGUGUGACAACUGGAGGAAAACCUGGACAAACAAGCCUGAUUCAGAUCCCCAGUAGCACACAGUUUGCAGUCAUGUCCCAAGGAAACUUGUUGUCUGUGGGGCAGCCCCGGGUACUGCAGACCCAACUCACCAAUCAGCAGUCCCUCGUCACAACGGCGGGAAUACAGCAGCAGCCACAGCCACAAGCCACAAAACUUGUCACGGCUGCAGGCAAACCUUUGGUCGCAGGAACAACGACCACAGCCACCGCUAAUUUACGCAUGCUAGGACCAGCAGCUGGUGGUCUCAACCUCGCUCACAUUGGCGGCAAGCCCGUAUUGCUUGCCAGUAAAGCUCAGCCAACACCCAUACAGGGGGCAGCUGGUCAGAAUGUGAUCCUCACAUCACAAGCUGCGGGUGGCCACCAGACAGUAGUGUUGGCUUCACAGGCACUGCGGGCUCAAGGUGGGACACUGGUGCUGCAACAAGGCGGUGCUCAGCAGAUACUGCUGCCACCUGGUUUCCAAGGUGGCACUCUGAACAUCAAGACUCUGCAAGGCCUCCAGGGCCUUCAAGGCCUGAAGGUGAUACCUCUGUCACAAGCAACAACUGCAGCUAGUACCAAAGGUCGACAACAAGUUUAUGCUCGAAUCAUCAGUCCUGGACUGAGACCAGCUGCUACCAACAUUGUCCACCAAAACACAGCUACGGCAGUGGCAUUGCAAGGCACCACCAGUGAAACUAGUCCUGCCAAUCCUCAGCUGGGGGCAGGUCCAUCUAGCAGCACAGAGCAGUAGGUGCCAAUACAAAGAAGAGAACAGUGUUCAUUUUCUCACAGUUGGUAUGAGAAGAGCUUCUGCUUAGACUUGUAUGAAAUGAAGAUAAAUUAUGUGAAACUGUAAGCAAAAGUUUGUUUUACCAGCGAUUGGAAAUGAAAUUGCAAUAAAAGAAUGAUGCUAACACUGUAUUGUACAGGCAUUGACGUAACACUGAACAUUCUUUCCAAAGCUUGUUGAGAUGUUGGUGCUGUCGAAACCAUAGCUUGCUCAUCUACUUCAUUGUCUCUCUUGCACAUUAUGACCAUCAUUUAUGGAAACUGGGUGUCUAGGAACGUAGGAGCAUUUACUGGAAUAAAGACUGCUGCAGACAACGGCAGAGUGUAAUACAAUGUAAUGUUUUCCAUAUGCACUGUAUAAUUCUGUUUAUGUUCUAAAUUCUCGAUCUAGAAUGAGAAUGUUUGAGAAAAUGAUGCUAAAGAGAAUAUUUGGAUCUAGUAGAGAUGAAUACCUGGAAACUAGAGAAAAUCUCUCAUAAUUUGUAUUCUUCAUCGUCUCACAUUAUUACGGUGAUCAAGUCAAGUAUGAUGAGAUGGAUGAGGUAUGUAGCAUGGACAGAGAAGAUGAGAAAUAUAUAAAAUUUUAGUCAGAAAACCUGAAGGGAUGAGACAGCUGGAAGAUUUAGGAGUCUGAGACUGUUAGUUCCACAUCAAGGACUCUGGAUCAUGGGAUUUAGUUAGUUCAAAUGCAAGGUAAGCUGUAAACAACACACAACAUGAUGUAAACAUCUGUAUAAUUUACAUUUUAUUACCUACAUUGCAAGUAAGUACAGUCUUGUCCAACUGGAAAUACUUUCCUUCACUUUUCAUUUAAGGCUCACUUUUUUGUGUAUAUAUAAUGGACUUACAAUACAGAGGACAACCAAAUGUA